CGGGCCGCCGAGCCCCGCGCGGCGCCGGGCUGGAGUCCCCGCCGACUGUUGAGCGCCGGAGACAAAGUGCCCGGCCGCGCCCCGCGUCUCUCGGCGGCCCUCCCGGGUCCGAGGUCGCGCUCAGUCCUCAGCAGCGGGAAGCAGGCGCCCGGGGAGGCGGAUGGCUCCUAGGUCGUCGGUGGAGCCCGCGUACGUGGGAGAGAAAACCUUUUUAAGAUGGUGGGAAAGAAAUCGCGGGUCAAUCUGGCAGUGCCACAUUCCGGCAUCACAAAGAGGGCUGGCUGGAACAGGGGCGGGGCGGCAGGGACGGUUCCAGCCAGUCACUCUCGUUUUUGUUUUUGUUUUGCGGUGCUGGGGACAGAACCCGGGGUCUUGGCAUCCUGGCCACUGGGCCCCGCCCCUGGCCUGUAAGUCACUUUGGUUUCACUAACUGUAAUGCCACUCCUUAAAGUUUUAGAAUUAAAAGCGUAACUUGGUAUCUACAAACAGGCAGAACAGUUCAGUUUCAGUCAUAUAAUGACAUAGGAAAUAUCAGACAUCAAGUUGUUUUAAUGAGUGAUUAUUGCAAGCAAGACAGUAUUUUAUCCCUACAGCUAAUCAGUAUGAGUAAGACAAAUCUUUACCAUCAACUUAAAUUCUGGUUGUGGAGAUGUAACAUUCCUACAAUAUUCAAGUGCGCGCUGAAUAAACUAACAAUUCUACAGUUACAAAACACCGCAUCCAAGUUUCAAACAUAGGUGCAGCCCCUGCAGUACUUAACCUCAAUUGUUCACAUAUCCCAAAAAUACUUUUCCAUCAGACCUGCUUUCCUGGGCAAACCUGGGUCCAUAACCAGGUUGUGUGAUGGUUAUAGACCUACAUUAGCUCAGAGCAUAUGUGAACAUGGGUAAACUCAAUAUGCCCAACAGUCAUACCAGGGUGGCACCCCCCACCACCCCCAUGGCUGCACUGGGGAACUGGAUGGCUGUGGACACAGGGCAGAUAAGGAAACUUGAUAGGUGGAAGAAACAUUUCUCACCAGAGCCUGGUGGUAGUUUAGGCCCCACAACUUUCACACAGCACUUCCAAACAACCUCACAACCACAUGCAGUCCACGGACUGCAAAGACAGCUCCAAGACAGGCCUCCAGCUCACAGGGGCACUCCCAUGCCACUCAGAGCAGCCAGCCUCUGCCCCUGUGCCCAAGUACUAACAUGAUCAUAGUUUAGGUUUUAAGAUUAUUUUCUAGGUGGCUGCAGACUGACAGUUUUGUGCCAGGAGAGGACUAGGGGGCAAGAGGUCAGCUGCCAUCUCUUGGGCACAGCCAGAAAGGCAGGGACUACAGAGAAAAAUCGACCGAUGGCUGAUGUCUGGACAUCAUGUGCAGACCCCAGCUGUUCAAAAGCUGUGCUGGCAUCAGUGAUGGUGUGCAGAAUUCAGAGUCGGCCUCUCUCAGUGGGCUACAGGUUAGUCCCUAACCCUCAGAGGUUUCAGCAGAUUGUCUGGCAGGAGGGCUGCAGGUGGGGUGGCCGGGCAGGCUCCUAAUACUAAGAGCUAAUGUGUACUGACAGAAUAUGAGAGUGCUAUGUAGCAAGCACUCUCCUGGGAAAGUGGGGCCUAUAGAUGGGAGGCACCACCCAAUAUCACCCAGCUCUAGAGGGAUGGCAGAGACUCACACUGGGGAAUGUGAGACCAGAGCGAGAUUAACUAGCAUUCUAACGAGAAGGCAGAGUCAGGUUAUGGACUGAGACCCCCACAACCUGGUAGGCGGGGUUCACUCAGUCCAUUCCUGACCAGCAAAAGCCAAACACAAAAUGUGUUGGACUGAUGCCCACGAGGACCAGACCAGGAACCGGGAUUCCCCCCAGUCCUCUCAGCUCGCCCCAGUGAUGGCAGCUGGACCUGGGAGGCUGUCCGUGUGCCUAUCACUUGAGAGGCAGAGAAGGACAUGCCAAGUGUCUUGUCACCAACACCUGACUCUGAGCACCAUUCAAAUGACAGUAGCCCUUGUCCCCUGCCCAGCUACCUCUGCUACUUGAGACCUUGGGCCCUCUGAGGUUAGGACAGUGGGUUGGCCUGUAGGCAGGGAGGGAGAACAGUGUGUCGCUGGCUGCAGGCUCCGCACCGACUGUUACAGAAUCCGUUAUGCGUUCCAUUUGGUCAGUGUGGACAGCUAGUGACAGUUACAGCAAGGACAGUUACUUUCAGUACAUCUGUCCUGAAAUUAAGUUUGGUCACUCGAAAAGGUGACCAAACUUGAUUUCAGGACAGAUGUACUGAAAAGUGAUCAGUGUCAAGAAGUCCAGUCAACUUAUAAUUUACAUGGAAUUUUUUGUAAUGUGCCCAGAGCACAAGGAAGGCACAAGUGUCCAAGUGAACUGGAGAACUAGAAUUCUGAGGUGAGCCUGUGUCUCCAGGUCACCACUGUUCACUUGGUUACAAGAGCCCAUCUCCAAAAUAUGUGAUCGUGUUCCUCCAGAGGUUACUAAAUUUACUAUCUCAAAUAAGCUGGUUGAUUGGAAAGAUCAGGUAACAAAAUCAAAUAUAUAUCUUUAGAUCUGUGCAUAUUUUUGUCAUUUAAUUUUCAAAUUAAGUUUCUUUUACUUUCACAUUUCAAAUAUAACAGUAACAAUAAUUAUUCACAAUUGGGAAAUUAUUCUGUCAGAGUAAAGACUUUUAAUUACAAGGUUUAAGACACUUCCAGAAUGAGUUUAAUAUUCAUGGAGCAAAUUUCGGUCACUGGAAUAUAAUACCAGAAAGAUUAUAUUCAGGCCCAUAUAAGUCAGAGAGAGAGGCCUUUGCACAGGUGUGAACUACUGGCUCUGGAAGACCAAGGGGUGUGAUGACCCUGCACUGCCAACAAAGGCCAUGGAUGGAAGGCACUGGACACACUGCCUGGACCAUAGAAAUGAUCCGCAGUACACGUGGGCCACCGCAAACACAUAAGCUGGCUGCUCCGUCUGUGACCACCACAAUUACCAGUGAAUAAAAUUAGGGCUGGUAAACACAGUCAUAAUACCAAGAAAUUAACAAUUCUAAAAACCAAUUUUCCCCAUUAAUUCAACUGCUUGGUUUAUUAAGGCAUAACAUUUAAAUGCAGACUCAGAAAAACUAAAAAUAUCUCAACACCUUAUUUUUCUAACUAUCUCCUUUUCCCAUAGGCUAUAUUUCAUUUCAGUCAAAUCAAAAUUAAAUCUGAAUUUUAACAUAGGAAAAGCAAUUCAAAGCACCAUUCCCUGGUGAUUUCAAUUAAUUCCAUCAUACUCUACAUACAAACAGUGAACACUCUUCCAUGAGGGACUGGCAAUUCAACUUGCUCCCUUGUUCUCCACAGAAGCAUCUAGUUUUAUGUUCUCUAACUAGCUUACCUGAAAGCUAAACUGGGUGUGGAUCAGCUGGGAUUACCUAGCUGGCGCGGCUGUUGCUGCUUCUGGACAACCCCACUGUCCACCUCUAGUGGGGACACCAAUGGAGCGUCUGCAAAUCCAAGAAGUUCUGAGAGGCUCUGCACAGGCACGGCGGACAGGGUUUCCUGCAGCCUUUCCUCUACUUGCACUCCACACAUACUGGACUGGACUCCUCUGGCUCUUCCUCUGGCGGUCACUGCCUCAUCCUGCAGCUGGUGAGCUGCACUCUGCACCCCAUAGCAGCACCCCUGUGGUACCUCUGCAAUAGGAUGUCUUGGGUCUCCUCCAAGCACCAAGGCCAGGUGCUGGACCUGAUGAUGCCCCAUAGCAUGCCCUUCUGCAUGAAUGAAGGUGGAGGCAGCCUCCUGUUCUUGCUGGCACCUGAGAGGACUCACCCAGCCACCACCAUCACAGCCAGGACAGAGACUGUAUUUUUUUUUUUCUUUUUUGUAUUUAUUUUUCUACAGAAAGAAUAUAAUGCCUGACUAAAUUCUGUUGAACUGAAUCACUUAAAAUACUACAAAUUCAACACAGAAGAUGUUAUUGUUUUUCCCAAGGAUGGGUUUAUUUCAAAUUUUAAAGAUAUAUACACAUAUAUUAUUUUUAUUACAUGUAAUAAGCAAUUUUAAGCUUACAGUAAAAAGUUUCACAUUUUUAAAGUUUAAAAAAAAAAAAGGAUGUCUUAAAAA